rnacentral:rRNA from 1 species
GAUGAACGCUGGCGGCGUGCCUAAUACAUGCAAGUCGAGCGAGAAGCUUGGAAAUGACGCUUCGGUUGAUUUUUCAAGCGGACAGCGGCGGACGGGUGAGUAACGCGUAGGCAACCUGCCCCUGACAGAGGGAUAGCCAUUGGAAACGAUGAUUAAAACCUCAUGACACCGUAGUAGCACAUGCUACAUCGGUCAAAGAUUUAUCGGUCAGGGAUGGGCCUGCGUCUGAUUAACUGGUUGGUGAGGUAACGGCUCACCAAGGUGACGAUCAGUAGCCGACCUGAGAGGGUGAUCGGCCACAUUGGAACUGAGACACGGUCCAAACUUCUACGGAAGGCAGCAGUAGGGAAUCUUGCACAAUGGGCGAAAGCCUGAUGCAGCAACGCCGCGUGAAGGAUGAAGGCCUUCGGGUUGUAAACUUCUGUUCUAAGGGAAGAAAGAAAUGACGGUACUUAGGAGCAAGCCCCGGCUAA